CGGAAUCUACUUUUUCGUGGGGGAUAACGUAGGGAAACUUACGCUAAUACCGCAUACGACCUACGGGUGAGAGCAGGGGAUCUUCGGACCUUGCGCGAUUGAAUGAGCCGAUGUCGGAUUAGCUAGUUGGCGGGGUAAAGGCCCACCAAGGCGACGAUCCGUAGCUGGUCUGAGAGGAUGAUCAGCCACACUGGAACCGAGACACGGUCCAGACUCCUACGGGAGGCAGCAGUGGGGAAUAUUGGACAAUGGGCGCAAGCCUGAUCCAGCCAUACCGCGUGGGUGAAGAAGGCCUUCGGGUUGUAAAGCCCUUUUGUUGGGAAAGAAAUCCAGCCGGCUAAUACCUGGUUGGGAUGACGGUACCCAAAGAAUAAGCACCGGCUAACUUCGUGCCAGCAGCCGCGGUAAUACGAAGGGUGCAAGCGUUACUCGGAAUUACUGGGCGUAAAGCGUGCGUAGGUGGUUGUUUAAGUCUGUUGUGAAAGCCCUGGGCUCAACCUGGGAACUGCAGUGGAAACUGGACGACUAGAGUGUGGUAGAGGGUAGCGGAAUUCCUGGU
rnacentral:rRNA from 1 species